GUCUCAUCGUGCAGAGAAGCAGCAUGGCACCGGUGUGGAAUAACUUGUUGACGUUUUCCCUUCUCUACAAACAACCUGCGCAUUCUGCUAUCCCGUCAACAUUGAUGAGUGCAGAGUUUCUGGAACACAUCUGAGGACGGCCGGGUUUCUUCACUUCUUCUCUUCUUCCUCCACUCGUGUGAUGGCCGCUGGAAGCUCCACGGGCAGAGAGUGUGAUUAAAACUGACUGCGAACGUGAUCUGGCAGCCGAUAUGAAACACGUCAGCUCAGAGAAGAGGAAGGAGGGGGAAAGGCUUCACACAAAAUGAAGGAUAGAAACAGAGAGGCUGUCUCCUCAGCCUUCACCUCAACAUUACCUUUCUGCAUUUCCACAGAAGACUUGAAAGCCUAUGAAGUCAUCACGAGGAGAGGCUAUUAGUUACUGUACUUGUCAACAGAUGGGAAGAUCAAUACAUCUCAUAUGAAUAAUGUAAACUCUGAGGUCACUUCAAAUGUGUGUUAAUCAUUUUGGCAAGCGGAGGUAAAGCUCCUAUCUGCUAAAUGCGUUUGAGACUGGCUCCAAAUCAAUGCCACGAUUACCAAAACACAAACAAGCAGCACAGCAGGAGAGCGCUGAUUAAACGCUUUUGACAUCGCAGUUAAAGGUAGCUGAACCUUUCCAUCAGAGCUCACGUCUGGCAGCGGUUCAACACAGAGCAAAUCCAUCUGAUCUGACUGAUCUGAUUAUCUUUAACAUCUUCAAAUUCUCAGCGCUGAAUCACCAGUGUUGCCUUUUAGCUUUUAGUGUUGGUGGUUUCUGAUCCGUGUACAGAAGAAAGUCCGACAUUCAAAAGUCAUCAUUUGACAUCGUGUGUGAGUUAAAGGGGUCCUAUGAUGCUCAUUUUCAGUUAGGAGAAUAGGGAACUUUGGGAUUUUAGCGAUAGCAGACCAUUUACAUGCACACAAACCCUCUAUGAACACACUAUAGGAAAGGGUUAACAUUCUUAUUCUGAGCCAAAUCAUGUUUGUUUAUACAUUUGACGAUUUAGACGCUUGUUUCUGAUCCGUGUCAAUUUGGACAACAAAAGCUCAUUUUCAAUAUUUGUCAGUGUGUAUUUUAGCCUCUGCAGACCAUUAACCUAUAGAACACACUACAGGAGAGGGAAAACCCUUAAAAGUAUAAUAGGAACAUUAGAAAACAUUCCUAUUCUUAGCCGAAUCAUGUUUUUUUAUAUACCGUAAAGCAGUUUUGUCUUGUUACACAUCAAACUACCGUCGUAAUCCGGGAGAUAUUCGCUCAAAACUUAAUUGAGAGCAGUUUAGUUUUAUAGGAUGGGGAGGUGGAUCCUGCUGAGCCAUUAUUCUUAUAAACGGUGAAAAUGUAGUCCUGGUUUUGUCCUGAAAUACUCGAUUACUGCACCGAGGCGAGUAUACAUGUGAAACUCUCUUUUUUAAAGGGCCCAUGUCAUGCUUUUCC